CGUCAACGAAAAUAAAUUCGAUUUGACGAUAACGCGAGAAAGAUUUCAUUUUCUUAUUCUUAUUAUUAUUACUACUUGUUAUUAUUAUUGUUAACGUGUUUAUCGUUCUUUAUUCUUCGAGAUAACGUUGAAUUUUGAAUCGUACCUCUCUUGAGAAAGAAAGUAUGUAAAUUUAUCGGCGAAAAAAGAGAAAAAGAAAAAAGAAAGAAAAAAAAAAGAAAAAAAAAAGGAAAACCUUGUUAUUCCGUUCAGUUUCGCCCACGCCAAAGUCAAUUUGUAGGAACCCUUUGUGCAUCGAAAUAACAUAUAUAUAUAUAAAAAAAAAAAAAAAAAAACCCAAAAAACAAAAAAGAAAAGGGAAAAAAAAGACAAAAUCGAUCGAUCCUCUUGCAAAAAAAAAAAGACGUCGUUACAUGAAGGGUUUAAUGAAAUCGCGUUCGAACUCGGAAUAAUCCAUAUUACAAUCCCGUCAAGAUAUAAGUCUGAGCAACUGCCCUUAUUAAAGAUGUUGAAGGAGAAGAAGAAGAAGAAGAAAAAGAAGGAGACGAAGAAGAAGAAAAGAAAAGAAAAAAAAAAGAAAAAAAGAAAAAAAUAAAAUAAAAUAAAAUAAAAUAAAAAGGUAUAUGAUAUAUACGGUGUAUAAAUAGUAUAUCUCGUGAUAUGCCGCGACGAUCGGAUCUUUACUUUCACCUCGUAAACGAUCGUUUGAUAUACUCUUACUUUCGCCAUAAUGUCACAAUAAGAAAUUUGUUUAGAUUAAUGCGAAGAUCUUCUUUAUUUCGCGUAAGGAGAGAAAUUUAAUAUGGGAGAAAAUGUAUGACCAUUUCUAUCGUCGAUGUGUCACGUGCCUAGUAGCAAAGAUCGUUAAAUUAUUUAUCGCAUUUUUCGAAAGACACGAAUUCGCCUUCAUCGUGCUUAGCGAAGAUAAAUGAAAAUAAUAGAUAAAUAGUUUAGAGAUGCAAAUGAAAGCGUUCGCUUUAGAUUAAUCUUACUUUAUCAAGUUCCUGCGAGAUUAUUAUAAAAAUGAUAAAAGGAGCUUCGGCGAUACAAUCUUUUCUAGCUUUUAAGCUGAUUUUUUAAAAGGAAAAAUAAUAAUAAUAAUAAUAAUAAUAAUAAUAAUAAUAAUAAUAACUAUAAUGGAAAAAAAAGACAAAAAAAAAGAAGAAAAGGAAAAAGAAGAAGAAAAAAUAUUAAGUGAAAGAUUAGCUCGAAGAUAAGCUUGUAAAUGGCGACGAACUCGACGAACGGUGAUCCUUCCUUAGCUCAUAUUCUCGAGUUAAGAAAGUAUUAGCCUUUUUGGAAUAUACAGGGAUAAUAAAUAAUAAUGGGAUAAUAAAUGCGACGAAUGGGAAAUUAAGCUAAAGAGAUAGGUAUCCGAUAAUAUGCAGGGUGAAACAUUUUAAUGGGAAAUAUCGAACGUCUCUUUCCUAUUUAUGGGUGUACAAAAGAAAAAAAAAAAAAAAAAAAAAAAAAAAAAAAAAAAAAAAAAAAAAAAAAAUAUUUCUCUUAGGGAAAAGUUAUGACAUUUGGAAAUAAAAUUAAAGUAUUUCCUUACAUUGCUCAUUAUUUUCCCCCCAUUAAGGAGGAUCUUUAACGUUCGUCCAUAAACAAAACGAAAGAUCUUUCGACGUUCCUAUUUAAAUAGUUCACUCUAUACAUAUAUAUCUACGUCCGAAUAGACGAACGUAAUUAUGGCUCUAAAAUCGAUCCGUUAAUCUUAAUCUGAUCGAUAUCUUCGAUUACCUAUUAUUAUGCAUUGUUCGAAGUCGAAUUUUAUGCUUUUGAAAGCGCACAAGUUUUCAAAGUUUGCAAAAAUUUCAAUAGAUAUCGCGCCAAUUAUUUGCGCUAAUUCAUUUCUCUCAUCAUACUGCGAUAAUUUUUUUUAGAGACGUCAUGUAAUAUUUUAAAGAAAGAAAGAAAGAAAGAGAGAGAGAGAGAGAGAGAGAAAGAGAGAGAGACAGAGAGGAAGAAGGAAAAGGAGGGACAGAGAGAAAGAGAGUGUUAGGGCCUUUGCUUUUACAUGGAUCGUAGAUAAAAAUUUUUCACGCUAGAAAAUGAAAUUUGUGACGUACUAAUGUAUAUUGAAUUUAGAUCUUUGAAUUUGUAAAUUUUUCUCCCCAACUCUACGAUCCCGAUCUAUUUAAGACGUCCUAUUAGAAAAAUAUUAGAUAACUUGACGUAUAUAUAUAUAUAUAUAUAUAUAUAUAUAUAUAUAUAUAUAUAUAUAUAUAUACGUCAGAAGAUGAACUUUGAUGUCGAAAAUUUUACGACGAUAGAAUAUAUCAGCGUGAGAUGAAAGGGAAAAUUAAAAAAGAUUGUAUUUCAUUCACGCUAGAUUAAUGAACCCACAACAGUGAAACAUACCGAGACGAUAUUCGUAUUGUUUAAUGUGCUUCAUAUAUGAAACAUAAAUCGAUGUUUAAGAUGUUUAAAUGUAUAGACAGAGAGAGAGAGAGAGAGAGAGAGAGAGAGAGAGAGAAAAUAACUCUUAGACAUUAAGUUUUAAUUCUUAUCGUAGAACGCUAAGAACGUUAAGAGAAAGUUAAUGAAAAAGUGAAAGAAGAAAAAGAAAGAUGAAUGUGAUCGAAACUGUCCUAAUCUUUAUUAUGGACGAAAAGAGCGUUUAGAGACUCUAGAAUUAGAAUCCUAACUCGCGAUCGCUUCUUUAUAUCAUAGGAACACGUACAACGUCCUUUCUUAUAUUUCAUUUCGCUUCGAGCGAUUCUCACAGAGUGACGAGCGUUAUUCAUUAUCGAUAAGGGAAAAAAAAAAAAAAGAAGAAAACAGAAAGAAAAAAAAGAAAAAGACAGGAAGAAAGAAAGAAAUUAAAUAAUAAUUAAAGAAUGAGAAAGCAGAAUUUCUGCGUGAAUAAAACACGGAAAAGCGACGAGUGUUAUCGAUAUAUUAUUAUAUAUCUUAUUAGAAAUGCGAUAGUUUUUUAAUGAAUUCGUCGCACCGUUCAUUAUAUGAUUUCAAUCAAAAGUUUUUGGUAAAAUCCUCGCUCCUGGUAUAAAAUGCAGACUGUAGAAAAAAAAAACAGAAAAGAGAGAAAGAAAGAGAGAAAGAGAGAGAGAGAGGGGGGAGGAGAGAGUAAUAAUUUAUAUGCUAUAUAUGUACGGACGUGCAAAGGAAUUUUAAAGGAAACAUAUCCAUUGAUUCACCAACGCGGAGAAAUAUUUUUUCAUUACCAUUAGUGCUCACAACUUCAAAGGAAAAAUGAUUAUAAAAUAUAUCUAUAUAUUACGUACAUACAUAUAUAUACAUACAUAAAUGCGCAUAUAUUCACAAAUACGCUACCUGCAUUUUUCUCACGAUCGAGGUCACAUUUGCUGUGGUUUUCUUCCUUCCGAUAAAGAAAGAGAUAAAGAAAGAGAAAGAGAGAGGGUAAAAGAGAGGCAGAGAGAGAGAGAGAGAGAGAGAGAGAGAGAGAAUGUGAUAAAUGGCGGGGAGAGAGAUGGAAGAAACUUUUCGUAUAAGUUUCGCAUGAUUUUUGUGGAUACGUUGCGGACGGAGGAAAAAAAAAAGAAGAAGCAAUUAUUUUCGAAUGUGAUGUAAUACGUAAAGUUAUAAGGAGCGUGCCUGAAAUAUUUUAGGAAACUUUAUCAGUGUAGAGAAGAUGAAAAAAAAAAAUGAAAAGAAAAAAAGAAAAAAAAGAAAAAUGAAAAAAAAUUGAAGUCGAGAUGGACUUUGUUUUCGUAAUUUAGCAUACGAGAUGAGUGCACGCUUGUUGUUGCGAUUAUUGUCUUUUGAAGCAUCACAAGAGAAAGAGAGAGAGAGAGAGAGAGAGAGAGAGAGAGAGGGAGAAAGAGAAUAAACAUCGCGAUUAGAAAUGCUUUUUUAGAAAGCGGAUGGAUCAUUGAAAGAAAGUAGAAAAAAAAAAAUGAAUCUUUCGUGAUUAGAUCGCGAGAUACCGCUUAGUUUUGUUCCAAAAAUAUCUCGGGCAUGAUAGGCUUUAAAAAAAAAAAGGAAAUAAAAGUUGGAUUUCGAUAGCGUGCAACGAGGAAGCCAUCGUCGUGUCGCGAGAUAGAUAAAGAGAAAAAAGAAAGAAAAGAAAAAAAAAGGAAAGAGAAAAAACGCGAUGAACAUUCAUAAAAAUGUGUUCGAACAUUCGAACAAGUAGGAAAUUGCAUUUAAUUGAUAUUUAAAUAAACUCGGCACGAUUAUAAGAAAUUUAAAAUAUUAAAUAUAUACAUAUAAAAUACGCUAACGAGAGACGGACUUUAGAAAAAGAAUUUUUAUCCUGUCGUUAUUAUAAAUAUACCUAUAAAGUAUAUAUACCCACGUAUUCGAUACUUUUUGUUCGUUGAUCGAACUCUUCCGAACUUAUCGAUAGUCGAGUAUGAUUUCGAUAGAGAGAGAAAAAAAAACGUGAAAAAAGUAAACAAAAAGAAAAAAAAAAAUAAAGAAAAGAAAAUAAGAGACGUUUGUAAUAUUCAUCGAAUUACGAAUGUCAAAAUCAAGCGUGUAAAUAAAUACCUACAACUCUCUUCGUAUUUCAUCGUCAUUCGAAUUCGUUGAAUUUUAUAAACCGACGUAAUUGUCAAAAAAGAAUUUUUCGAUCGUCGAUUAAUAUAUACCUAUCUAUUAUUAUACUUUUAACGAAAAAAAAAAAAAAAAAAAUAACUUCAGCCAUUAUGAUAUAAAUAUAUCUAAUAACGAAAUUUCUUCAUUAAUGAAGAAACCAUAGCCGUCUUUUUAUCGAACUUUGUCAUAUCGCAAAAAAAAAAAAAAAAGAAAAAAAAAACUUAAAUGGAAUCGUCUUCUAACGAUUGAAAAUCAUAUACCUAAUCGUGUCUAAAUUACGAAAUUAAUUACGAUCUCUUACGAUAUUUGGAAAAGUUGUCAACGAUAUUUAUACUUAAUACGUAUAACGAUAUCUCUACAUGCAUACAUAUAUAUAUAUAUAUAUAUACAUAUAUAUAUAUACAUAUAUACAUAUAUACAUAUAUACAUAUAAUACAUACAUACAUACAUACAUAAAUACAUACAUACAUACAUACAUACAUACAUAUAUAUUAUAUAAUAUAAUAUUGAAAUAAUUUUCAAAAUAAAUCACGACGGCUUCUCGUUGUACACUAGAGUCCGUGAUUAAUAUUAAGUCAUUCAACGCACACUUGUAGCUCUAAGGGUUUUUAUAAUGGUGCUCUAUGGAGGCAAUCGUAUAAUUCGAUUGAUAUUUCAAAAGAUUAGCAACCUUCGAGAAGUUGCUCAUAAGAAAGAAAGAAAGAAAGAAAGAAAGAAAGAAAGAAUGAAAGAAAGAGAGAAGUAAAGAUUUUCUGUAGAACAUCAUGAUACAUACCGAAAUAUGUAAAUAUACUUUAUGAUAGUUUGUAAAAGAAAUUUAAAAGGAUAGGAUAGAAAAAGAAAGAAAGACAGAGAGAGAGAGAGAGAGAGAGAGAGAGAGAGAGAGAGAGAGAGAGAAGUUCGUCAGAAGAGUGCUAGCGAUCGUUUUAAAGUUUCUUUUUUCUCAUUUAUAUGAAUUUUAAAAAAAGAAAAAGAAAAAUCGUUCGAGAUCGAAAGAGCUAUCGAUACUCAUUGGAAAGAUAGAAAGGAAAAAUUAACGAGAUAAAACGAUCGUUUCUUUUUUUUCUUCUUUUUCUGUUAUCACGGAAGAAAAGAAAAGAAAAAAGGCACAGGUGAUAAAAUAGAAAGGAACGAGAAUAGAUUACCUAUUGCAUUAUCAAUUAGUAGAUUUAAUCGAGAAAAGUCGAUAAGCUUAAAAAGAUUUGCAGUAAACGAUUAAGAUCGAAUUCUUAGAUUCUAAUUGCGUUGUUAAGUUAAUGACGAUUUCUUGUCGCGGAUUUUCAGACGGAAAAAUGUUCGCAAUCGGAAAAUUUAUCUUGUGUUACGUCGUCGUGAGAUAUGCGAAUUCGAUCGCUAAGUUAUUUAAUCAUUCGUCAAUUUUUGUAAUCGCUCGAACGGAAAAAAAAUGAUUUCUGUGAGGAAACAAAAAAGAAAAGAAGAUAAUGAAGAGCUUGAAUAGUAAUUAAAAGAAAAAAAAAAAAAAGGGAGUAAUACACGUUGUAAGAACUACGGUGUAUUUAAUAAAUGCAUUUAAUGGAACGGAGACUGUGUUUGCAAGCUGUGUUCUCAAAUGUAAGAUGGAAACGUUAAUUAUUAUAAAAUUAACGCGAAGACAAACGCGAUGAAAAUGAUUCGACGUGAUACGAAUAAUCGUUAUAAAUGUUAUCUACAAUGUAAACGUUUAUUCGAGCCAUUUAUACCUGGCUACAAAUAAGAAUCGGUACUUGUAGUGAUUUAACGAACAUGUCAUUACUUUAUCGCUUAAGAAUUACGUUAAUCCGUAUAUUUUGUAAGCCAAGAUUAUCGAUAGUGAUUAAUAAACAUUACUACGUAUUACGAUAAAUCUCAACUAAUACUCGAUUUUUAUCCAAACAGUUUAAUAUCUUAUUUCACAUUCGUACACCCGUUAGAAGUAGAUAAAUGUCAAUAAGUGACGAAUUUCGUCUGUUCUAAAUAAUGAUAAGAACGGUAUAAGAGAAAAAUGGUGGAAAAAAUCACAUAAUAUAUCGAAUGGACAAAGAUAAAAAAAAAAGCAGAAUUAUAUUAUUCACAAAAAUAUUAGAAACAAAUGUUCAACGUUUACGUUUGUACAUCUCCGUCAACCAUCGUCCUACUUUUAUUGUCUUUGAGUACGUGGCUUUGUUUAUGUCGAUGGGGUUUUCGAUACAAUAUGAAGGAUCAUCAAGUUUUGUAUUGUUUGAUAAUGUACUUUUUCAUUAUCACGCUUCUCAAUAUGAUAUUUUUGGGCCAUUUACAAUUCAGUUGUGAUCACAUACCAGAAACAAAGAA